CCGUAAAAGAUGACUUCUGUACUUGACAAAGACUAGAAAGAUGCUCCAUUCGUACAUCCGGUUGCAUAAGGAGAAUAAACUGGUCUAUCGUUGGUUAAAAAUGAAAAUACGUCCACCGGAUUAACCAAAACAAACAUUUUUUUUUAUAUUAUUUAGUACCAGUCUCUUCUAGUCAUUUAAUUAACUAGUACAUUUUAGAUACAGUAUCUGUGAUAAUAGUGCAUUCAAUAAGGACAAGAAACAUUUUUAUCCGCACAAUUUCCAUAAGUAGUUUA